rnacentral:lncRNA from 1 species
CUUCUGAUAUUUUGAUCUGAGACUGAGAGAGACUUCUCUGCUGAACUAUCUCGAUCUAGAGACGUCGGCUCAUUUCCAUCGGAGAUUCUGAGAUUUUGCUGCAAAAUGGAGGACAUGGGAGGCCGACAUGGACUAACGAUUCGAAGAUGGAGGUUUAUGGGGAGGCCAGCAUACGAACAGUCGUCGUCGUCGCCCUUGGUGUUCGCAUCACGAGGGAUCUGCGGGAACUUUGCAUGAAAUUUUCGAAAGCGUAGCGUAAAUCUCUUACUCUCUUCUUUGAAUUCGUCAAUCUCUAGCGCAUCUCAAAUCCUAACUCCUGAGAACCUAUCCCUAACCCUAAUUUACCAUUUCAUUUUACCUUGUUUUAGAUCGAAGAAAUUUGUGCAUACGAACCGUCGUCGUCGGCCUUGGUGCUCUCGAUCUGCGAGAAAUUUGCAUGAAAUGUAAGUCUCCCACUCUUUUCUUUAAAUUCGUCAAUCUCUAGCAUGCCUCAAAUCCUAACCCUAACCUUAAUUUAUCAUUUCAUUUUACUACCUUGUUUUAGAUCGCAGAAGCUUGUCAUCGGCCUCGAUCUCCGAGACCUUGGCUGGGUUGCGUAAAGAGAAGCAUCUUCAGACCCAUUCAUUGCAUAGCUUCCACUUCCAGCGAAGAUCUUCAGGUGAAUGUUUGAAUUUUUGGUCUUUAAUCGAUUGGUUUGUUCGGAAUUGAAAGUUUUAGUUUGGACUCUGCUGAAUUUCUCAAUUAGAACGCUCAAGUGUUGGGUAACAUGACAAUUCAUAAGGUGCAAUGUCUGUUGUUACUGACUUUUAUCGUUUGCCUAUAAAUUAUGUGUGGCAAAAGCGAAUGGCUUUCAUCGAUGGCCAAAGUUGGCAUGGUCCCUUUAAUCCUUUUAGAAAAAGGUCUCUUUCAUGCAUUAUUACUAGUGUGGUUUCUCACUGCGAAGCAAAACACACAUGAAAUCGUAUUUGUACUUGUGUUUAAAUUGUGUAAGUUGUUUGUUGCAUGGUAUGUUUUAGCUGCAAUUCUAUGUUUUGUAUGUUUACUUUGUUAGAGUAAGCGAGAGAGCCUUAGAAUAUUAGAAAGCAAUGUGUGAAGUAGCUUCAGAAUAUAUAGGAAGUAAAGUUUUAAAGUUAUGAUGAAUGCUGAGGCAAAUAUUUGGGUUUGCUUGCGGUACAGUAUAGGCUGUAGCAGCCUGAAUAUGAUAAUGGUCAUAGUUUUGUAUGCUAUGUAGAAUUCAUGCUUAAAAUCAUAAUAGAUUUUGUUGAGGUGUAACCGUGUUAGUUAUUACCAGAGGCUGCUACAAGUGUUCUAAAGGGUUUGUGCCUUGACGUUAACGUCUUGUUUGUGGGGAUGAAAAAAUAUAUAACUAAACUAACUAUAAUAUUGUAAGUAUAGUAUGAAAAUACCCUUGAGGGAUCUUCUUUUUAAGUCUUAGUAAUAGGAUUCUUAUCUUAUAUUACAUUGUAUAGUCUUCCUCUGUUCAGGUUUGUUUUAUGGGAGAUUCACUAUUAUACCCAAUAUGGGGGCCUAAAUUAUAAAAAUACCCUAUAUAAAAUGGACUUUAGAAACACACCCAAAACCCAUUUACAACAUAACAAAAAAGCUUUUAACUUCUUAUAAAUUACAAAACUGCCAUCAAUUUUUUAAAACAAGCCCAACCCCAAAAUCUCAUAAAAAUACCCAAAGCACUCAAUAGGGCAUCAAAGUAAUUUAAUAAUUAAUAUUAAAUUCAAUAAGGCUAGCUAUCAUUUUUUGGGUUUUUUUUUGGUUUGUUUAUAGGAAUUCAAUUGUGUAGGGUUUAUUUAUAAUAUUAGUGCUAGAAAUGGGUAUAUCACUAAAUAUCUCUUGUUGUAUAUGUUGUGUUUGCUGUGGGCCUCAUUUUAGCUAGUUGGCUUGGCUGCUCGGUACUUAUUGGGUUUCCUUUGUCUAGGCCCAAACUUUUCGGUUCCACCCCCAGAAAUUGCAAUUUGGGAGGGACUAGUAUUUCUGAUAUCAAUUUUCGGGGAUCAGUACUUCCGCAAUUUUGGCCCAAAAGUUGCUAACUCGUUCCAAGAAAUUUACACCUUUGUGUUAUUUUAUCGGUUUUUCAUCUGUAUUUUUUUGCCAAUAAUAUUCUUUUCUGCAGCUAUGCUUCUGUUUAUAUGAAUUAAUUUGGUUAUCUGUUUUUUUUUUUAACAGCCCUUAUGUAAAGGUUGAAAAUGCAAACGGGUCCCUGCCGAGAAGGCAUAGGUUUGUUUAAGAUGAAGCAAAGGUCGCUGCUGAGAAGGCUUGGGAUCUUGUUGGGAUAUUGAACAGCACGGAAUGCUUUUUUUGUGUGCGCGCGCGUUUGUUUUUUAAUUUUUUAAUUUUUUCAGCUCAUAUAAUGAAUAAGGACAAUGAAUUACUGAAA